CAUGCAAGUCGAACGGCAGCACGGGGGCAACCCUGGUGGCGAGUGGCGAACGGGUGAGUAAUACAUCGGAACGUGUCCUGUAGUGGGGGAUAGCCCGGCGAAAGCCGGAUUAAUACCGCAUACGAUCUACGGAAGAAAGCGGGGGACCUUAGGGCCUCGCGCUAUAGGGGCGGCCGAUGGCAGAUUAGCUAGUUGGUGGGGUAAAGGCCUACCAAGGCGACGAUCUGUAGCUGGUCUGAGAGGACGACCAGCCACACUGGGACUGAGACACGGCCCAGACUCCUACGGGAGGCAGCAGUGGGGAAUUUUGGACAAUGGGGGCAACCCUGAUCCAGCAAUGCCGCGUGUGUGAAGAAGGCCUUCGGGUUGUAAAGCACUUUUGUCCGGAAAGAAAACCUUCGCUCUAAUACAGUGGGGGGAUGACGGUACCGGAAGAAUAAGCACCGGCUAACUACGUGCCAGCAGCCGCGGUAAUACGUAGGGUGCGAGCGUUAAUCGGAAUUACUGGGCGUAAAGCGUGCGCAGGCGGUUCGUUAAGACAGAUGUGAAA
rnacentral:rRNA from 1 species